GCCGCGGGCGACCGUUGGGCGACGCCGCGCUCGAGCGCUCCGACCCCGGGGGGGGGGGGGGGAGGAGGCGGGAUCUGCGCCGCCGGCGCCGUCAACGGCCCGCGAUACCCGCCGUGAACCGCCAUUGGCCAGCUGAGCCGCCAAUCAAGGCAUCCUCCAAUCGGCGCAGAGGGCCGACGAACCGAUUCCGCGGUUGGCUGACUGUCGGCCCGGCCAAUCGCAUAGUGAAGAGAGAAAGCAAUGGGCGUGAGGCCAGCAUCAACUUCGCAAGAAAUCACUUUGGAUAUCUGGAUGACUAUGGAAUCAAACCAAUAAUUCCCCGGCUCAGCAAGCAAAUAAAGAAAGUCCCAUCUCCGUUCCUAUUGAAAGCGGGUCGAAGCAAGAGAGAUGAUCCGGAGUUUGAUGACUUCUAUAAUUACCUUGGAUAACUAUCAGCAUCAAAUUGUUUUUUUAGACUUUAUUUUCCAGCUGUGAUUGAAACAUGAAAUUUGGAAACUGUGCUGACACGAAUAGCAAUGAAACCAAAGUGCACAUUUUGUUUUGGACAUGUUAUAUAGUGUGUUUUAUUCCUUCAACUAGAAAGAAUGACCAUUUUGAAUCCUUUUUAUUAACUCUUUCUGAGUGUAUUGAUUUCCAGUGAGAGUUCAGUUCGAAUGUGGACAGUAUCUUCUAAUAUCUCACCCAACAAGUCAUGCUACCUGUGUGAGAGUGUUAUUGAAGAGACUACUGGCAGGAUGUGUGACUGACGCUAAGGCAUUUUUGGCCCAUUUCUGAUAUUAGCCAAGGUCAAAAAACACCAGCUGAUUAUCCCAACCAGCAUCUGGAGUCCUUGUUUCUACAUUUCUCUAUCCCUUAUCUCACUGUUCACUGCUCCUCAGCAGGCCAGGAACUUGGAACCAACUCUUUUUACUUAUCCACAGGUCCCAUGUGGGGGCAAAAUCUAGCUUUGACAAUAACACAUUGUACAGAUUCCGGGAAAGAGAUGGUUAGGACAACUCCCAUUUCCUCAAGAAGUUUUACGAGUAAGAAACUGAGUACAAAAAGUAUUUCCUUAAAAGGACUUUCCAUUGCAAAUUGCAUCUCUUUGCUCAUACAUCUGCUACACUUUCAAUAGUUUUAUUUUGGGUAGUCUAGUUAGGGACUGAAUGGUGUGAGACCCCAUCCAGCCUCCUUGUUAACUGGGCUGAGGGACCAAGUGGGGAGAAGAUCUUGGAGGUCAAUAGCUUGAAUGCUUGUGAUGAACUGCAGCAAGCCAACAUGAGUAUCAUUCAUAACAGAUUACUGGAUUCUCUUGACCAUUCAUUGAUGAUGUCACAUCUAGCUGCCAAUUUACCAUUUUCAAUAUGUGUCCCUGUGUUCCAAGAGUAAAUGCACAAUCCCAGCCUGGUGAUUCCUUGUACAUUGAAAGGACCAGCUCUACUGUCUACGAUUUAAGCUGAAUCCAAGUAGACGCCGCUGUAACUUUGGACUAAGAUAGAUUGAGUUGUUUAAAUCCAGAAAGCAAAUUAUUGUCUGCUAGGAUUAACACGAGGACAGGUUUAUCCUUGAUUUUAUCCGAACACAACAAUAAAAUUGUUAUUAGUUAUACUUCUA